AACGCGAAGAACCUUACCUACCCUUGACAUCCUCGGAAGCUGCUAGAGAUAGUGGUGUGCCUUCGGGAGCCGAGAGACAGGUGCUGCAUGGCUGUCGUCAGCUCGUGUCGUGAGAUGUUGGGUUAAGUCCCGUAACGAGCGCAACCCUUGUCCUUAGUUGCCAACAGGUAAAGCUGGGAACUCUAAGGAGACUGCCGGUGAUAAGCCGGAGGAAGGUGGGGAUGACGUCAAGUCCUCAUGGCCCUUACGGGUAGGGCUACACACGUGUUACAAUGGUCAGUACAAAAGGAAGCGAAACCGCGAGGUGGAGCGAAUCCUUUCAAAGCUGUUCGUAGUCCGGAUUGGAGUCUGCAACUCGACUCCAUGAAGUUGGAAUCGCUAGUAAUCGUGGAUCAGAACGCCACGGUGAAUACGUUCCCGGGCCUUGUACACACCGUAGUAC
rnacentral:rRNA from 1 species